AUCCAGUUGACGAGUCCAAAAUAGGACAAAGUGUUGCGCAUCCUGGAU
rfam:Schistosoma haematobium scaffold66_40, whole genome shotgun sequence.